GAUGAACGCUAGCGGGAGGCUUAACACAUGCAAGUCGAGGGGUAACAUGAGGUAGCAAUACUUUGAUGACGACCGGCGCACGGGUGAGUAACGCGUAUGCAACCUACCCUGUACAGGGGGAUAGCCCGGAGAAAUUCGGAUUAAUACCCCAUAAAGAUAUUCAGAGGCAUCUUUGGAUAUUUAAAGUUUCGGCGGUACGGGAUGGGCAUGCGUAACAUUAGCUAGUUGGUAGGGUAACGGCCUACCAAGGCUACGAUGUUUAGGGGUCCUGAGAGGGUGAUCCCCCCA
rnacentral:rRNA from 1 species